AUGGCCGCCUCAUACGACUACGACGACACCGCCGGGUACUCCCAGACGGCGGAGUCACUGAGCUACGACCCAAACGUGGUGCCGGACUCGGUGAAGUCGUUCGCGGUGCACCUGUACAGGCACAUCAGAGAGAAGAACGUGUACGAGAUCCACCAGAUGUACGAGACCUCAUUCCAGACCCUGAGCGAGCGCAUGUUCAAGGACACACCUUGGCCCUCCGUCGACGCCGUCGCUAAGUUCGUCGACAACGACCACGUCUUCUGCUUGCUCUACCGCGAGAUGUGGUUCCGCCACCUCUACGCUCGCUUGUCACCUACUCUCAAGCAGAGGAUCGAUUCCUGGGACAAUUACUGCAGUCUCUUUCAGGUGGUGUUGCAUGGGGUGGUGAAUAUGCAAUUGCCGAACCAAUGGUUGUGGGACAUGGUGGAUGAGUUUGUGUACCAGUUUCAGUCGUUUUGUCAGUAUCGGGCGAAGAUGAAGAACAAGACUGAGCAGGAGAUUGCAACUCUCAGGCAAUUUGAUCAGGCUUGGAAUGUGUAUGGUGUGCUCAACUUUUUGCAAGCACUUGUUGAGAAAUCCAUGAUCAUUCAAAUCCUAGAGCAGGAGAAGGAAGGCCUUGAACAGUUCACUUCAACUGAUGGAUAUGAUUACGAUGGUGGAAGCAAUGUCUUGAAGGUCUUGGGGUAUUUCAGCAUGGUGGGAUUGCUACGAGUCCAUUGUCUUUUGGGUGAUUAUCAUACUGGUUUAAAGUGUUUACUUCCCAUUGACAUAAGUCAACAAGGUGUCUACACCAUUGUUAUUGGAAGCCACAUAACCACCAUAUAUCAUUAUGGUUUUGCGAAUCUUAUGCUACGGAGGUAUGUGGAGGCGAUUCGAGAAUUUAAUAAGAUUCUGCUGUACAUUUACAAGAUUAAGCAAUAUCACCAAAAAUCUCCUCAAUAUGAACAGAUACUGAAGAAGAAUGAGCAGAUGUAUGCCUUGCUUGCAAUUUGUCUCUCUCUUUGUCCCCAAGUGAAGCUUGUUGACGAGACUGUGCACUCACAACUUAGGGAGAAGUAUGGUGAGAAGAUGUUGAGAAUGCAGAGAUACGAUGAUGAAGCAUUUGCCCUCUAUGAUGAGCUCUUCUCAUAUGCUUGUCCCAAGUUCAUUACUCCCUCAGCUCCAAGUUAUGAGGAGCCUCUUGUAAAUUACAACCAGGAUGCUUAUAGACUUCAGUUGAAGUUGUUCCUAUAUGAAGUCAAGCAACAACAGUUGUUAUCAGGUGUUCGGACCUUUCUGAAUGUGUAUUCGACCAUCUCCCUUGGGAAGCUUGCAACUUACAUGGAAGUUGAUGAACCAACUCUGAGGACAAUUCUGAUGGCAUACAAGCAUAAAACUCAUGCUGUUGAUUCUGAUGGAAAAACCAUCUCUAAUGCUGAUAUUGAUUUCUACAUCGAUGAUGACAUGGUUCACGUGGUUGAAUCAAAACCAGCUAAGCGAUACGGGGAUUACUUCUUGCGUCAGAUUGUUAAGCUUGAAGGGGUGAUGAACGAUAUGGACAGGAUAAAGUUGGACUGAGUCGAUCGUAUCUGUAUUAGGAUACACCUCUAUGCCUUGUGCAAGUUUUUAUUAUAAUUGGAAGGUACGGACGAUCCUGUUCCUUUCCUCUGUUUGUUAGAGGUUUGUUUUCUCCAACCAACGGGUACUAAUUUUUGUUUGGAAAUAAUCAUGAUAGGUUGAUUUAUUUGAUGCUCUAGUGUUAUCGCCUGCACUGAAUUGCGAAGACUGAAUAAUCAUUUGAUAGGUUGCUUCAUAUGACUCGUGACAAUCACGACAACAAGGCGUGAGGUCGAUAUAUUUGUAAUACAUUAGAUAAUAUUCAACAUGUUGUACCAAUAUCAUUAAUCGGACAGAGUCAACGUAUAAUCAAAAUUAAACCUAUGGCAAAUUACACUAAUAAUUCUCCUA